AAAUGGCCUGAAGCAGCGGGGCAUGUGUGAAUUGGAGAAGAGACCAUUUAGGAGCACAAUACAGCUGCCUUCUUGGUCUGAAGGCUUGCCUGGGGAGGAAGGUAACCGGUGUUACUGUGUGACCUGACCGAGGACUGGGGCAGGGAUCAGUGGAGGUGAAGGGUUGCGUACUUCAGCUUCACCUCAGUCAGCACUGGGCAAGCACCCACUGUCAGAAUGCAGCAUGAACCACCUGUGCAGCGGGAGGGGUUGCCCUUCCUGAGCGCGGUUAAGACAGUGGACACCCAGAGCUGUUGAAAAGAAUUGAGACGCUUGUCAACAGAAUGCAAAGCUGGCCUUCAUCAAAACAAUUUUAGUCUGUGAGA